GUAGUCUCGCACAGAUGCAUAUCAAUAAGCGGAGGAAAAGAAACUAACAAGGAUUCCCCUAGUAACGGCGAGUGAAGCGGGAAGAGCUCAAAUUUGAAAUCUUAAAGGGUUUCCCUUUACGAAUUGUAGUUUAAAGAAGUGUUUUCUGUUGAGGUUUUGGUAAAAGUUCUUUGGAAUAGGACAUCAUAGAGGGUGAGAAUCCCGUAUUUGACCUUUACUUUCAACUUUGUGAUACACUUUCAAAGAGUCGGAUUGUUUGGGAAUGCAGUCCAAAAUGGGUGGUAAAUUUCAUCUAAAGCUAAAUAUUGGCGAGAGACCGAUAGCGAACAAGUACCGUGAGGGAAAGAUGAAAAGAACUUUGAAAAGAGAGUUAAAUAGUACGUGAAAUUGUCAAAAGGGAAGCGUUUGACACCAGUGUUGUUUUUCUGAAAAUCAAUUAAAGAACUGUUUAUGCUAAGCUGUUUAGACUUUAUCAGCUAUCUGUUUAGUUUUGAGCUUUUCUUCAAUGCACUUUUCAGUUAACAAGUCAACAUCAAUUUCUUUUGCUGUAAAAAAGCUUGAGGAAGGUGGCUUGAGAUUCGUCUUAAGUGUUUAUAGCCUCUUGCCUAUGCAGUCGGAGAGAUUGAGGUCUGCAGCGUAGAUCCUUCGGGGCUAAAUGCAUUUGUGCUAAGUUAUAGCAUUUUAUAGACAACUUGUUGACUAUGAUUUGUCUUGUAGCUUACUCGCUUAUGUUAUUUUACCUACGCUUAGGAUGUUGAUCUGUAGUGCGUGCGC
rnacentral:rRNA from 1 species